GUUCCGGUUGUCCCGCCAGUGGCAUUGCCGGGUAGCUAUGUUCGGAAGAGAUAACCGCUGAAAGCAUCUAAGCGGGAAACUUGCCUCAAGAUGAGAUCUCACUGGAGCCUUGAGCCCCCUGAAGGGCCGUCGAAGACUACGACGUUGAUAGGUUGGGUGUGUAAGCGCUGUGAGGCGUUGAGCUAACCAAUACUAAUUGCCCGUGAGGCUUGACCAUAUAACACCCAAACAAUU
rnacentral:rRNA from 1 species